rnacentral:snRNA from 1 species
GCGGAACGGAGCAAUCCGGU